CCCAUUUUCACCCGAAGAUAUCAAAUAUUUGUGUAUAGAUUAUGUUUUACAAAGUAAAGUUGGUGAAGAUAUCAUUGUAAAUACAAUAUUUCAUAGCGUGGCUAGAAGACUUGGUCUACGUUGCGAUGUACUAUAUAUUGAAGAUGGAUUCUGUAUAUUUUGGAAAUCAAAAUUAGUCCCGAAUAAUUUUGAAAAUGCAGGAUGUUUUUACACACAAAAGCAUUUCCCGGG